rnacentral:rRNA from 1 species
CCCGCUAUCCGCCCGGGUACUACGAGCACUAGCUUAAAACCCAAAGACUUGGCGGUGUUUAGACCCACCUAGAGGAGCCUGUUCUAGAACCGAUAACCCCCGUUAAACCUCACCCUCUCUUGUUCUUCCCGCCUAUAUACCGCCGUCGUCAGCUUACCCUAUGAAGGAGCCACAGUAAGCAGAACUAGUACAACUCAAAACGCCAGGUCGAGGUGUAGCAUAUGAGAGGGGAAGAAAUGGGCUACAUUCCCUGCCACAGGGAAUACGAACAAUGUAAUGAAAUACGCAUUAGAAGGAGGAUUUAGCAGUAAGCAGAAAAUAGAGCGUUCCGCUGAAACCGGCCCUGAAGCGCGCACACA